CCUACGGGUGGCUGCAGUGGGGAAUAUUGGACAAUGGGGGCAACCCUGAUCCAGCCAUGCCGCGUGUGUGAAGAAGGCCCUCGGGUUGUAAAACACUUUCAGUGAGGAAGAACGCCUGGUGGUUAAUACCCAUCAGGAAAGACAUCACUCACAGAAGAAGCACCGGCUAACUCCGUGCCAGCAGCCGCGGUAAUACGGAGGGUGCGAGCGUUAAUCGGAAUUACUGGGCGUAAAGCGCGCGUAGGUGGCUUGAUAAGCCGGUUGUGAAAGCCCCGGGCUCAACCUGGGAACGGCAUCCGGAACUGUCAAGCUAGAGUGCAGGAGAGGAAGGUAGAAUUCCCGGUGUAGCGGUGAAAUGCGUAGAGAUCGGGAGGAAUACCAGUGGCGAAGGCGGCCUUCUGGACUGACACUGACACUGAGGUGCGAAAGCGUGGGUAGCAAACAGGAUUAGAUACCCCAGUAGUC
rnacentral:rRNA from 1 species